rnacentral:Y_RNA from 1 species
GGCUGGUCUGAUGGUAGGUUAUCAGAACUUGCUAAUAUUAGUGUCACUAAAGUUGGUAUACAACCCCCUACUCCUAAUUGGACUGGCUAUAA